AGGCAUAUGGAGGUUCCCAGGCUAGGGGUCCAAUCGGAGCUACAGCUGCCAGCCACAGCCACACCAGAUCCGAGCCGUGUUUGUGACCUACACCACAGCUCACGGCAAUGCCAGAUCUUUUAACUCACUGAGCAAGACCAGGGAUUGAAUCCACAACCUCAUGUUCGUAGUCAGAUUCAUUUUUGCUGCGCCGUGACGGGAACUCCCAAAAAUCCAGUUUCAACUGGAUUUGGCAAAAAAAGGAGUUUAAUAGCAGGGUAUUGGAGUAUCUCCAAGAAAAGCUGAUGAAAGGGUAGGGUGCUGCCAGAUGGGUCCCUGUGGACGAUUGUGCAAGCUGCACACUGCACAACCCCAGGGGCCACUCUGGUCAUGUGAAUGGCACUUUCUGGAGUUACGCAGAGCACAACUUGUCUAGACCUUCUCAGUGUCCCUUUUCCAGGUUUCAGGAAUAACUGGAAUCGGAGUCUCAAAUGCUGCAAGGACUCUCUCUCUAUCUCUGAAAUGGGCUUCUGAGUAUUGACUAAAUCACUCCCACCAUGUGUGGUUUCAUACACGUGGUGGAUGAAAAAUUGUCUGUGAAUGGUUCCUUGCUUCCAACAUCAAGGAGGUACUGACUCAUUUGGUUAUUGGUCACAGCUUCAAAACUUUACCAAGGGGCUCUGAUUGAUGUAUUUGAGCUUAGCAGUCAUCCUUCCACUAAUCAAGGAGCAGGAUGGCUGGAGGCGGGCAUUACUUUUGCCUUAGCUUGAGUGAGAUUCCCACCUGGACCCAGCAUGUCUGCUCAGUAGGAGACAGGCGAUAUCUGAGCAUUCCCUUUGGGGGGAUUUAAGUCUUUUAACCCAUGUUUGUCAUUUUUGUUUGUUUUUUUUUUUUAAAUCUCCAGAGCCUUUCAGGAGCUCUAAAUACCUAAUAGCAGGGAGGACAAUGCGGAAAUAAUACUGUCCAACUCAAGAGUGGAUGUGAAUUAAACUCACCUCCUCUGGGACUUUCAUUUGAUGAAGUCCUAAGAGUUUGGCAACAUGGGAGCUAUAUUCAUAGUUUGAAUAUUUGGGGAGACAUUAUGUUCCCUGUGUAGUCAUGUGCAGGCAGCUCUCAAGCUCUGUGUCUUGAAGGCAGAAAAUACCAAUCUCUUCCCAAACUAACUGCCCACGGGUGCUUGGUAACUGCCUCCUUCACGAGACCAGACAGAAGAAACAACAAUCUCAUAACUGUUCAUUUCAUCUCCCUUCCACCCCCUCCCUAGCCUCCCACCUCCAACACAAGUUUGGAGGGUGUAACCCGCCAGCCCUUUAAUAUUAUCACCUUAUAGCACUCUCUCCAUAUCUUCCUGGAACCCCUAACUUUUCACCCCCACUCUCAUUAGUCACCACAGCUUACAAGUUUAAACACUGAAGCCAGAGAAGGAUUUUCUGGGUGUCAAGAAAUCAAGAGGUUACCCUGAAAGGGAUUGGGGGGAUGUGUGGAAUGAAGCAAAACAAAUACAGCUGCCACGUGCCAUAAAUAUUCUUGGAGUAUUUAAUCCACAUGGAACAAGGGGGGAGGUGCAUGACUAUUAAUGACCAAAAUAAAUAGUAAUCAAUUAUGAUGAUGGUAAUUAUGCUUUUGAAAUUAGCCUGGGAAAGGAUGACCGAGGCAAUUUUUUUUUAUUCCAGCUCAGGAAAAUGGGACGCCAGCUGGGGCUAAUAAGAGCUUUCAUUAAAGCACUGAGUUUCAUCCAGCGCUGCAAAGAAAGCCCUCUCUGUCCGGUGACCCAGCCCGGCCCUGACAUGCCUUCUGCUUUUUAACAAGAACUGAAAGGUGGCGAGACAGACAGUUCUUGCCUUGGCACCGGGCGACGGCGGCCUUUGAAAAGGCAGGGAUUAUUUUCAAUGGCCCAGUGCUGGGGAGUUUCAUUUCCUCUGCCCCCUGUCUCGAGCACGUGGGUUCCAGCACCGGCGCGGAGGACCUGGAGCUGACAAGGCGGGUUGGCAGCGGUGGAUGACCCGGGGCAGAGGGUCUGGGCAGGGGAGGACGGGACAGGGCAGUCUGCAGUGACUGGCUGGUUAGCGACAGAGGGAGAAAAAUAUGUGGCUUCUGAACAAGGGGACUGUGUGUCCUUCCCUGCACUUGAGUCGCCCCAGUAGCUGUUGUGGGGAUGAUCACUAAUAUUUACCUGCCAGCCCUUCCACCCCAGAGAGCAUAUUUACCCGGCACAGGGCGGCCGUCCCAGCACCGCCCUGCCGGCUCCUCUGCUCUGCACAAGCAGCAGCCUUGGAAUUUCAUGGAAGUCAUUCGCUCUUGGGUCCUGACUCAGUUUCCCAUUUGGCCUCUCUCCCUUUCGCUCGAUUUCUUGCUCUGUUUCUCUUUCACUGAAGAAAUUAAGAAGGCCUCGCGCUUAGCCACCUGAGCACCAUUGAAGGCUUAGUGAGAAUAAAAUUCCUCUUCCCCUCCUUCGAGAUACAGACUUUUCCUGAUACAGACUCACUACCCCAACCUCUAAUGGAGGCUCAUUAUCUAAAUCUGGAUCAAAGCCUCACCUUCAUUCAGUGGCUCUCGGCCUGGGGUGAACUUGCCCCUGGCAGGCAGGGCGAGAUGUCUGGCAAUAUCUGGAGACACUUUUGGCUGUCACAACUAAGGUGGGGGAUGCUAGCAGCAUCUAACAGCUAGAGGCCACGGGUGCUGCUCAACUGCCUACAGCAUGCAGUGAGGAAGAAUCACCCCACCCCAGAUGUUAAGAGUGCUGAAACUAAGACAUCCUAGCUUGAUUAAACAGCUAAGCAAACAUUUAAUCACCACUACUGUCCCCCCUCCCCUCCAAAGCUGGUCUCCUGGAAGCCUGUGUGCCAGGAGGUGUGGAAGUCAGAAGGCACCAGCCAGAGGCUGUGCACCUGCACAUUAAGUCAUCACUGACCCCGCCUCCUGGCCACCGCUCUGGCCAAUCAGAUUAGCUGCUCCAGGGAAACCAAGGCCACAGAGGAGGUUGCAGAAGCUCCUUUCCUAGCAGCCCUUCUGCCGGAAGUGAGGAAGCUUGUCCUAUGUGAGCAAAGAAAGGACUUGAGGAGAGGAGAAAACAGGGUCCCUCCAUAGACCAAUUCAGGUAGUCUGAUAAACCUCCAGAGUCUGAUGGACCCAGGAAGUGCCCUGGAGAGGUUUGAGUAUGGCCGAGAGUUAGAAAAGAUUCUCAAAAUAUGGCCCUAGUCACAACAUUCAUUUGGCAAUUGCAUAUAGCGCUUUGGGCCAGAUGCUUUGCAGACCCUAUUUGAAACCAUCUGCACAACAGGGUCAGAGAUUUUCAUUCCCACUUUACAGAUCAGGAAACUGCAAAUGUUUGGGGAGAUGAAAUGAUUUGCCCGUGGCCUCAGAUCAAGUCAAUGAAGAGCUGGGGUUGGAACCCAGCCGGAUCUAAAAUAAUCUGGGGAGUUCCCACUGUGGUGCAGCGGGUUAAGGAUCUGGCACUGUCCCUGCAGCAGCUUGGGUUGCUGCUGAAGCACAGGUUUGAUCCCCAGCCUGGUGCAGUGGGUUAAGGAUCCAGUGUUGCUACAGCUGUGGCACAGGUUAUAGCUGUAGCUCAGAUUUGAUUCCUGGCCUGGGAACUUCCAUGUGCUGUGGGUGCAGCUAAUAAAUAAAUAAAUAAAAUAAUUUGGACCCUCCCUGGAUUCUGUAUCUAAAGAGGACUAGAGACCUAGAAGGGACUAGACCACACUGGCUGGAUGGACUGAAGGGAGAAGGGGUCAAGGGUGACUUCUCAUGGACGCUAGGCACUUUGGACUGGAAAGAUCUGGGCUGAGAGCAGAGAGCCAAGGUCUGUUAUAUUAUGAGGGUCACGGAAAGAGGGUCACGGAAAGAGGGAAUAUGAGCUCUCCCACCAAAUCCUCACAUCACACCAAAAAGUUGUGUCCUUUGAAUUUUUAAAAUAAUCUUGUGGCAGGAAGAGGGGCCCCUUCCUGGGCCCGAGCAUGGGCUCCUGUCUAACACUCAGAAUUGUCCAAGGAGACAUGCGUCCUGACAAAGCAAAAGACAGUAUUGGGAAGGGGCGCCCAGGAGGAGAGCAGCAGAGGAGGGAACCAGGAGAACUGCUCUGCACGAGGCUCACAGUCUCAGGCUUUACGGGAAUGGGGUUAAUUUCCAGGUCGUCUCUGGCCAGUCAUCUUGCUUGGCCCACAUUUGGUCCGGCUCAGGGUUCUUCUUGGUGGUGCAGGCACCUCUCAGCCGAGACGGAUCCCAGCCAAGGAUUCCGGGAGGUCGGUGGUCUCCUCCCUCCUCUCGGCCCCUCCCAGAUCCUCCCCGUUAGUCUUCAGGGCAGCACCGGGUUCCUCAUCAGAGCCUCCUGCUGCGACCCAACUCAUGCAAGCGGCUAUUAUCGUGCCUGGCCAAGGUGGACCGCUUCAGUCAAUGGUCCUCUAAAGAUCUUACUUCACAUAAAUCUUAGGACUUGGGUAAUGGGUGCAAAAGAUUAUCAUUUACUGAGGACCAGCUGCAUGGCAGGCUCUCUGCUAGACCUACACAUAGACGAUUCCAUUUACCCCACCUCCCCAGAAUCCCAUGAGAUGCCCUGAAGCCCCAGUUUUAGGGACCAGGAAAUUGGAACUUGGCAAGAUCAAUCAGCAUUAAGGGGUACUGGCUAUGAUGAAGGCAUGACUGUACUGAGGCUACGGUCAGAGAUGAUUCGCAAGGGACCCUACAAUAUUGCUCUCUGACCCAGAGGGUUUCUAGAGAUAAAAUCCUGAGGUACACCCGCAGUGAGUCUGAUUAGUAAAGCAGAUGCUGGCUUCUAAAAAGCCCCCACACACCACAAUGACUCUACUCUCCAUUUGGUGUCCUCAGAAAAAGGGCCUGCUCUCUUGUUGGCCUGCACUGACCCAUUCCAGGGUCAAGAAAUUCUUCCAUAUAGCCACCCUCAGGCUGCUGAGAUGAAGAACAGCUGGUGGCCACCAUCUCUAAGAAUCUUUCAUUAAAAAAAUAAAAUCUUUCAUAAACUUGAAAACCCAUUAUAUAACCAGCCUUCUCUAAGUAAAAAAAAGAAAGAAAGAAAAAAAACCAGUUCUUUGCAGUGUUUUCUCCAAGAUUAUUUUUUCUCCAAGUUUCCUCUGCAAAUUGGUUGACUCCUCUGGAAGUUCUCUCUGCUCCUCUGAAGGUGCAGAGACCACAAUCACCCCUGGAUGUUGAGUUCACCACUUUGCAGAGCCAAGGGUUCUCUCACACGUGUUGUCAGGGGGUGACUUAGUAAAACCAACAGGGAAAGAAAUGGUGAUCGGGUGAAACACGCAAAGGCGCUUAAGUUCAAAUCCUGGCUUCUCCCUGUUCUAGCUGUGUGACUUCAGGCAGAUCCGCUAGGCUUGCAAGUUCUCCAUUUCUUUAUUUCCAAGCAGAAGAAAUGACUUUCCCAUAAGGCUCUAAGAAGCUCAUGUGAGUACAGUACUUGGCACGGGUAAGACCCAGUAGCUAUCGUAACUUUCUCAUCCUGCCCUUCCCUCCCCACCAUGAAGCACAGCCCCUCCCCUAUUUGCUGUUCCUCUGAAUCAAACAAAGACCAAAGACAGGCAGCCUCUCACUGAUGAAGUGAGCCCACCAUCCUGGAUGUGUGUGAACCACACUGCUCACACCUCUCAGGGGUGGGGGUGGGGUGAGGAGGGGCUUCUACUUUGGGCAGAAAUGGGCUGGGUCACCUCUUAAAAUCCUCUUAAAAUCCCCUUUUUUUUGUCUUUUUAGGGCCACACCCGAGGCAUAUGGAGGUUCCCAGGCUAGGGGGCGAAUCGGAGGUGCAGUGCUGGAUCCGAGCCGCAUCUGAGACCUACGUCAUAGCUCACAGCAACGCCGGGUCCUUAACCCUUGAGCGAGGCCAGGGAUCGAACCCGUGUCCUCAUGGAUACUAACUGGGUUCGUUAACCCUUGAGCCAUGAUGGGAAUGCCUUAAAAUCCUUUUCAACUCAAGACUCUAUUUAGAGGACGGGAUUAAGAUGGCGGAAUAGAAGGACUGGAGCUCAACUUCUCUCCUAAAAACAACAAAAUUCACAACUAAAGACUGAACAAUCUCCACCCAAAUGGAAUGGAAACCCAUACCCUACUCCAGAAGAAAAAGAGGAGGCCACAUCCACAGGUAGAAGGGGUGAUUUCAUGAUAUAAACAACCCCAUACCUCCCGGGUGGGAAGCUCCACAGACUGAAAA
rnacentral:lncRNA from 1 species